UCCGGUAUGGUCUAGUGGCUAGGAUACCUGGCUCUCACCCAGGAGGCUCGGGUUCGAUUCCCGGUACCGGAG
rnacentral:tRNA from 2 species